AGCAGCCGCGGUAAUUCCAGCUCCAAUAGCGUAUAUUAAAGUUGUUGCAGUUAAAAAGCUCGUAGUUGAAUUUCAGGAUUUUACCGUUGGUCGGGCUAUCCGGUCUGUACUAGCGUGUAGAAUUUUUACCUUCUGGGGAACCAUCAUGUUAUUAAUUUAGCGUGGUGGGAAACCAGGACCUUUACCUUGAAAAAAUUAGAGUGUUCAAAGCAGGCUUACGUCUGAAUACAUUAGCAUGGAAUAAUAGAAUAGGACGGUGGUCCUGUUUUGUUGGUUUCUGAAUCACCGUAAUGAUUAAUAGGGAUAGUUGGGGGCAUUAGUAUUCAAUUGUCAGAGGUGAAAUUCUUGGAUUUAUUGAAGACUAACUUCUGCGAAAGCAUUUGCCAAGGAUGCUUUCAUUAAUCAAGAACGAAAGUUAGGGGAUCGAAGACGAUCAGAUACCGUCGUAGU
rnacentral:rRNA from 1 species